rnacentral:tRNA from 1 species
ACUAUUUUGACAGAUAAUUUGUAAUAAAUUUAGAAUUUAUUUAUGUAUAAUUUAAUUAUACAAAUAGUA